AUCUUUCUAGGAUCUUUUAUAUAAAUUAAGUGUGUCACUCUUCAAGUAUUAAAUCAUAUCCCACACUCACAAAAUAAUUUUCAAAAUCUCAUCGUUUUCAUCUUUUAAAAAUCACAUUGGAAAUUUCCAAACCUUUUAUAAAACCAAGUAUAAUCGAUCAGGAAGUUUGUACAAUUGAUUAUAAAGUGAAAUUUGGCAUGUAAUCAAGUAUGAUAGUUGUGUAAUCGAUUAUGUUUCUUAUUCGGCAAACCUUUCCUUAUUUGCUAGGUCUGAAUCGAUUAUGGUCGUAGCCUAAUCGAUUAUGGACCGAAAAGGGUUUUCCCAAUGUUUUCAAAUUUGUCUUAAUUUUUUACUAUAAAACGAGGUCUUGUGUUCAUUUCAAAAUACUCAAGUUUUUAAAAAGACUUCUUCUCACCUUCUCUCAUUUCCGACCGACUCUUU
rnacentral:lncRNA from 1 species